rnacentral:rRNA from 1 species
UCCUGGCUCAGAUUGAACGCUGGCGGCAGGCUUAACACAUGCAAGUCGAGCGGAGACUUCGGUCUUAGCGGCGAACGGGUGAGUAAUACCUAGGAAUCUGCCUAUUAUGGGGGAUAACGAAUCGAAAGGUUCGCUAAUACCGCAUACGUCCUACGGGANAAAGGGGGGGAUCUUCGGACCUCUCGCUAAUAGAUGAGCCUAGGCCGGAUUAGCUAGUUGGUAGGGUAAAGGCCUACCAAGGCGACGAUCUGUAGCUGGUCUGAGAGGAUGGCCAGCCACACUGGAACUGAGACACGGUCCAGACUCCUACGGGAGGCAGCAGUGGGGAAUAUUGGACAAUGGGGGCAACCCUGAUCCAGCCAUGCCGCGUGUGUGAAGAAGGCCUUCGGGUUGUAAAGCACUUUAAGCGAGGAGGAAGGUUUUAGUUUAAUACACUAAAGAAUUGACGUUACUCGCAGAAUAAGCACCGGCUAACUCUGUG